GGGGGUGUAGCUCAGCUGGGAGAGCACCUGCUUUGCACGCAGGGGGUCAGGAGUUCGAAUCUCCUCAUCUCCACCA
rnacentral:tRNA from 1 species